rnacentral:rRNA from 1 species
UACGGGAGGCAGCAGUGGGGAAUAUUGCACAAUGGGCGAAAGCCUGAUGCAGCUAUGCCGCGUGUAUGAAGAAGGCCUUAGGGUUGUAAAGUACUUUCAUCGGGGAGGAAAAAACAAAACUAAUAAUUUUAUUUCUUGACGUUACCCGAAAAAGAAGCACCGGCUAACUCCGUGCCAGCAGCCGCGGUAAUACGGAGGGUGCAAGCGUUAAUCGGAAUUACUGGGCGUAAAGCGCACGCAGGCGGUCUGUCAAGUCGGAUGUGAAAUCCCCGGGCUUAACCUGGGAACUGCAUUCGAAACUGGCAGGCUAGAGUCUUGUAGAGGGGGUAGAAUUCCAGGUGUAGCGGUGAAAUGCGUAGAGAUCUGGAGGAAUACCGGUGGCGAAGGCGGCCCCUGGACAAAGACUGACGCUCAGGGUGCGAAAGCGUGGGGAGCAAACGAGGGAUUAGGAUACC